rnacentral:lncRNA from 1 species
GGCGGGUUCUAUGGUGCACAAGCCAUAUAGGUCUUGCACCGUGCAAGACCUUUCCUGACCGUUUGAUCAAAAAGAUUUAUCAAAAUAAAAAAUACACUCUCCACAGCAUAUUUUUCCCAUCUCCCUCUUCUUCUAUCUUCUGAUUCCUUACCAAAACUUCUGAAUGUUAGUUGGUUGUGCUGCCACCGCAGAUUAUCUUAUCGCUAUAAUCUCACAUGUUCUUUGCCACAAUAAUAAGCUCCUCCAGAUCAAAACUGCAGAUUUAUCCAACUAAAUUUGAGACACCAAUUUUUUUU